AUAGCUUCUCAGCCUUUUGGCUAAGAUCAAAUGUAGUAUCUGUUCUUAUCAGCUUAAUAUCUGAUACGUCCUCUAUCCAAGGAUAAUAUAGAAAAUGAACUUUUGGAGCAGGGAGUUGAAAUAGGAGCUUGAUCUGUCCCCUCCAUACAUCAAUCUGGUAUUGCAGUACCUCCAGGAAUGGUGCACACCCU
rnacentral:snRNA from 1 species